GAUGAACGCUGGCGGCGUGCCUAAUACAUGCAAGUCGAGCGAACGGACGAGAAGCUUGCUUCUCUGAUGUUAGCGGCGGACGGGUGAGUAACACGUGGAUAACCUACCUAUAAGACUGGGAUAACUUCGGGAAACCGGAGCUAAUACCGGAUAAUAUUUUGAACCGCAUGGUUCAAAAGUGAAAGACGGUCUUGCUGUCACUUAUAGAUGGAUCCACGCUGCAUUAGCUAGUUGGUAAGGUAACGGCUUACCAAGGCAACGAUGCAUAGCCGACCUGAGAGGGUGAUCGGCCACACUGGAACUGAGACACGGUCCAGACUCCUACGGGAGGCAGCAGUAGGGAAUCUUCCGCAAUGGGCGAAAGCCUGACGGAGCAACGCCGCGUGAGUGAUGAAGGUCUUCGGAUCGUAAAACUCUGUUAUUAGGGAAGAACAUAUGUGCAAGUAACUGUGCACAUCUUGACGGUACCUAAUCAGAAAGCCACGGCUAACUACGUG
rnacentral:rRNA from 1 species